rnacentral:rRNA from 1 species
UACGUAGGGUGCGAGCGUUAAUCGGAAUUACUGGGCGUAAAGCGUGCGCAGGCGGUUUUGUAAGACAGAUGUGAAAUCCCCGGGCUUAACCUGGGAACUGCAUUUGUGACUGCAAGACUAGAGUACGGCAGAGGGGGGUAGAAUUCCACGUGUAGCAGUGAAAUGCGUAGAUAUGUGGAGGAACAUCCGUGGCGAAGGCGGCCAUCUGGACCAGCACUGACACUGAGGCACGAAAGCGUGGGUAGCAAACAGG